AGUGAACGCUGGCGGUAGGCCUAACACAUGCAAGUCGAACGGCAGCACAGUAAGAGCUUGCUCUUACGGGUGGCGAGUGGCGGACGGGUGAGGAAUACAUCGGAAUCUACUUUUUCGUGGGGGAUAACGUAGGGAAACUUACGCUAAUACCGCAUACGACCUACGGGUGAAAGCAGGGGAUCUUCGGACCUUGCGCGAUCGAAUGAGCCGAUGUCGGAUUAGCUAGUUGGCGGGGUAAAGGCCCACCAAGGCGACGAUCCGUAGCUGGUCUGAGAGGAUGAUCAGCCACACUGGAACUGAGACACGGUCCAGACUCCUACGGGAGGCAGCAGUGGGGAAUAUUGGACAAUGGGCGCAAGCCUGAUCCAGCCAUACCACGUGGGUGAAGAAGGCCUUCGGGUUGUAAAGCCCUUUUGUUGGGAAAGAAAAGCAGCAGGUUAAUACCCCGCUGUUCUGACGGUACCCAAAGAAUAAGCACCGGCUAACUUCGUG
rnacentral:rRNA from 1 species